GUCGAACGCGAAAGCCCCGCAAGGGGUGAGUAGAGUGGCAAACGGGUGAGUAACGCGUGGGUGACCUGCCUUCGAGCGGGGGAUAACGUUCCGAAAGGGACGCUAAUACCGCAUGACAUCCUGCCUUUCAAGAGGUGGAGAUCAAAGCUGGGGAUCGCAAGACCUAGCACUCGAAGAGGGGCCCGCGUCCGAUUAGCUAGUUGGUGGGGUAACGGCUCACCAAGGCAACGAUCGGUAGCCGGCCUGAGAGGGCGGACGGCCACACUGGGACUGAGACACGGCCCAGACUCCUACGGGAGGCAGCAGUGGGGAAUUGUUCGCAAUGGGCGCAAGCCUGACGACGCAACGCCGCGUGGAGGAUGAAGAUCUUCGGGUCGUAAGCUCCUUUCGAUCGAGACGAAUUCCCUUGCG
rnacentral:rRNA from 1 species